rnacentral:rRNA from 1 species
UACAGAGGAGCCAAGCGUUGUCCGGAUUGACUGGGCGUAAAGCGCACGUAGGCGGCCCGGCACGUGGGGUGUGAAAGCUGGCGGCUUAACUGCCAGACGCCAUCCCAUACGGCUGGGCUCGAGCCCUGCAGAGGUCCAUGGAAUUGCCGGUGUAGUGGUGAAAUGCGUAGAGAUCGGCAGGAACACCCAGGGGGAAACCAGUGGACUGGGCAGGAGCUGACGCUCAGGUGCGAAAGCGUGGGGAGCGAACCGG